GCAAGAUCACUGCGCUGGCAGGAUCCUUUGUUUUUCCAGAAAGAGAAACAGUGCCUGAGAACUAAGAGAGAAAAUGAACUCCAGUGGCAAUGUGUAGCAAGGACAGAUUUCAUGCUUUGGAAAUAAGCUGGGCUGUGUGGCAAAGCAAUCAAUGCCAAUGAAAUAAUGGAACACAAACCCUCAGAGGACAGCUAACAGGAAAGAAAGGCCGCAGUGGGACAGUGAGCAGAGAGGGGAGCUAAACAAUGGAGCCAGGAAGAUAUUGCUGCAAGCAAAACUCUUGUUCCAACUACUCUCUUCCCCAACCCGGAGCAAUUUCAUAUGUCUUCUAGAAUGUGAGCAAGAUGGCAAAAAAAAAAAAAAAAAAAAAAAAAAAAAUUACUUCAGGUUGUGAGUGUUUUUACUUCUUUAAAGACUGACU
rnacentral:lncRNA from 1 species